GAUCAACCUCUGGUCAUGAAGGUCAUUCAGUUGGGGCAGCACCAAUAUCAUCGAUGGAUGGCCUAUCACUCACUACAUUUGGAAGAAAGAAAAGAAUAAAGCUCAUUAAUGGCACGUUACAUCCAUCUGAGGAAUGUGCUAAGAAGAUGAAGAAUAUCUUCAAGGAGAGGAUGGACCCAGAGGGGCACUGUUGGAAAACUAUCACGCCUGAAACAAAAGAGUUUUACUGGGAUGAAUUUCAAAAAUACUUUGAUUGGUAAGAG